GCGGGGGACNACNNUGGNNAACCAGGCUAAUACCGCAUNUCUCUACGGAGUAAAGCGGGGGAUUUCGGACCUCGCGCCAUUGGAGCGGCCCGUGUCCGAUUAGUUUGACGGCGGGGUACANGCCACCGUGGCUACAAUCGGUAGCUGGUUCUGAGAGGAUGAUCAGCCACACCGGGACUGAGACACGGCCCGGACUCCUACGGGAGGCAGCAGUGGGGAAUAUUGGACAAUGGGGGCAACCCUGAUCCAGCGAUGCCGCGUGUGUGAAGAAGGCCUUCGGGUUGUAAAGCACUUUCGCGGGGGAAGAAACUUCGCGCUCUAACAUAGCGCGGCACUGACGGUACCCCGAGAAGAAGCGCCGGCUAACUCCGUGCCAGCAGCCGCGGUAAUACGGAGGGCGCAAGCGUUAAUCGGAAUGACUGGGCGUAAAGCGUGCGCAGGCGGCCGCGGAAGUCGGAUGUGAAAGCCCCGGGCUCAACCCGGGAACUGCGUUCGAAACUCCGCGGCUCGAGUCCGGCAGAGGAAGGUGGAAUUCCGCGUGUAGCGGUGAAAUGCGUAGAGAUGCGGAAGAACACUAAUGGCGAAGGCAUCCUUCUGGGCCGGCACUGACGCUGAGGCACGAAAGNCGUGGGUAGCAAACAGNGAUUAGAUACCCU
rnacentral:rRNA from 1 species